rnacentral:rRNA from 1 species
UACGUAGGGGGCUAGCGUUGUCCGGAAUCAUUGGGCGUAAAGAGCGUGUAGGCGGUCCGGUAAGUCCGCUGUGAAAGUCCGGGGGCUCAACCCUCGAAUGCCGGUGGAUACUGUCGGGCUAGAGUGCGGAAGAGGCGAGUGGAAUUCCUGGUGUAGCAGUGAAAUGCGUAGAUAUCAGGAGGAAUACCGAUGGCGAAGGCAGCUCGCUGGGACGGUACUGACGCU